rnacentral:lncRNA from 1 species
AUGCAUCUCUUCUGGUGGAUCACCCACAUCUUUCUAUCCCUCCCUUCUCUCCUCUCUCUAGUCCAAUCCCUCACAUGCGACAAUGAGACACAGUAUGCUUGGCCAUUGCAUGUAAGCCAAUGGUGCUGCAACAAGUGUCCACCAGGUCAGCAUCUGGUGGGACGCUGCACUGGUCAGAACAGCCCUACCCAGUGUACUGACUGCACAAGCGGCUACUACUCAGACAGCUACAACUUCAACAUAGGCUGCAAAUCCUGCGACGGCUGCAGCAUGAGUGAGCUGCAGUAUGUAUCUCGCUGUUCCACCAAGCAGAAUGAUGUGUGCAGCUGUAAACCAGGCUACCGCUGCAGAGGAAGUGGCACCUGUCUGGACUGUGAGGAGAUCCCCAGCCCAAACACACCCAAACUCAUACCGACACCUCCCAUCAUGCCAGCUGCAGUGUCAAACCACUCAGUGCCUGGUAUCCCUAAUCAUAGACCUAAACCUGUCACCAAACCUGGGCCCAGCACAAAACCAAACCAAGAUGACAACAAGUGGCUCCCGGUGUGUGUGUCUGCAGUGUGUGUGUGUCUACUGCUCACCUGCCUUGUUGCCAUCUCAAAGCUCAAACCUGUUCUGCGAUGGAUUGGUUCACCAAACAGCUUCUGGUCUCCCAAAAAGACAACUCCAGCCAAUCAGAGCACAGCGGAGGAGGAAGUGCCCAUGCCGGUCCAGGAAGUGUGUGGAAAGCCAGAGCUGCUACUGGACGUAUGA